UACGAAGGGGACUAGCGUUGUUCGGAAUCACUGGGCGUAAAGCGCACGUAGGCGGCCUGAUAAGUCGGGUGUGAAAGCCCUGGGCUCAACCCAGGAAGUGCACUCGAAACUGUCAGGCUUGAAUAUGGAAGAGGGUCGCGGAAUUCCCGGCGUAGAGGUGAAAUUCGUAGAUAUCGGGAGGAACACCAGUGGCGAAGGCGGCGACCUGGGCCAAUAUUGACGCUGAGGUGCGAAAGCGUGGGGAGCAAACAGG
rnacentral:rRNA from 1 species